UAUCACGUAAUAUUUUCUAAGUGUAGCUAAGCUGUAAAUGGAGCACUACUAAAGCCAUAAGCGAAUUAAAAAAAAAAACGUCAAACAAGCACAUUGCAACUUGUCUACAUCGAAGGAGUCCGAAUUAUUGCUUUGGCUGAUGGCGAACAUUAAAAGUGUCACAUUCCGUGGAUGGAAACAGAAACAAUCCUGUGUGAGAAACAUUCAUGAUAGAAAGUGUUGUUUUCAUUGUGUAAAUAAAGGCGAAUGAGAAGCAUUCUAAUGCUAUAAAGACACCACUUCAAACAUAUACAUUCAAAAUAUUGGCAAUGAGGUGAUGGACUCAUACAGAAAUUUGACAGCUUGCAGUGUCGUCUUGUAUGUACAUGUCAUUUAUUUUUACUACCACAAAAUGUCGGCAACUCUUUUUGUCUCAGUGAAACUCCUCCAGUCACUUCAAAUUACCGGAGUUGCUUGGUAGCAGGAUGCCACGAGAGGGGAGCAGAGCACUAUUCUUGUUGAAAUUACAUGCUUCAAUUUACUUCAUCAUAGAGUACUUCCUUGACACUAAGCUGCCACAAGAUGGCGGCAAAUCACUACCGUUGGCUAAAUUAAAUGCUUCGAUUCACUGGACACCAAAGCAAUACAUGUAAUUUUAGUGCGUUGGCUUAUGCACAAAAAUAGCGUAAACGUUGUUUUUUUCAGCAAAUGACAGAUGAACGAAAAUGCCGGAUUGUGAAUAUGCAGUUUAGGACAAGUCUCAUGAAAACCGAGUCAAAGUCAAGAUAUUUCAAGAGUUUUAGCCAAUCUGAGUCGAUUUAGGUCAUGUGACUCGAAUGCACUACCUCUGGUAAGGAAUGCCAAACAAUCGUUAAAGUACAAGUGACACGACGAUGGUGCGACAAUCACAAGGGUGAUAUCUGACGCUGGUGGUGUGUGUGUGUGUGUAGAGAGAGAGAGAGAGAGAGAGAGAGAGAGAGAGUCUCAAACACGUUAAGAGGGCAACACAUUCAAGUUAGUAACUCUUGAUAAUGCAUAACUGUGAACUAAAAGUCAUUCCAAGUCAUGAAGGAUCAUCCACAUCAGAAAGCUGACUGAGAAAAUACCAAGAUGUGCAAAACUGUAAUCUGGACAAUAGGGGCCGUAUUAUGAUAAAACAUUCAGUUUUCAUUUUUUUAAACAUCCCAUCAAUACAGUAUUUCUUCAUAAUGUCGAUAAUU